rnacentral:rRNA from 1 species
UCGUGCCAGCAGCCGCGGUAAUACGGAGGAUGCGAGCGUUAUCCGGAUUUAUUGGGUUUAAAGGGUGCGCAGGCGGGACAUUCAGUCAGGGGUGAAAUACUUGGGCUCAACCGAAGCAUUGCCCUUGAAACUAGUGUUCUUGAGUCUGAUGGAGGCAUGCGGAAUGCGACGUGUAGCGGUGAAAUGCAUAGAUAUGUCGCAGAACGCCAAUUGCGAAGGCAGCGUGCCGUGUUAAGACUGACGCUGAGGCACGAAAGCGCGGGUAUCAAACAGGAUUAGAUACCCUGGUAGUCCGCGCUGUAAACGAUGAUUACUGGUUGUUCACAUAACUUGUGAGUGACUGAGCUAAAGCAUUAAGUAAUCCACCUGGGGAGUACGUCGGCAACGAUGAAACUCAAAGGAAUUGACGGGGGCCCGCACAAGCGGAGGAACAUGUGGUUUAAUUCGAUGAUACGCGAGGAACCUUACCCGGGUUUGAACGACAGAUGAAUACAGGAGAAAUUUUGUAGUCGCAAGACAUUUGUCGAGGUGCUGCAUGGUUGUCGUCAGCUCGUGCCGUGAGGUGUCGGGUUAAGUCCCAUAACGAGCGCAACCCCUGCCGACAGUUGCUAUCAGGUAAAGCUGGGGACUCUGUCGGGACUGCCGGUGUAAACCGCGAGGAAGGCGGGGAUGACGUCAAAUCAGCACGGCCCUUACAUCCGGGGCUACACACGUGUUACAAUGGACGGUACAGAGGGCAGCCACCCUGCGAAGGGGCGCGAAUCCUCAAAGCCGUUCUUAGUUCGGAUCGGAGUCUGCAACCCGACUCCGUGAAGCCGGAUUCGCUAGUAAUCGCGCAUCAGCCACGGCGCGGUGAAUACGUUCCCGGGCCUUGCACACACCGCCCGUCAAGCCAUGGAAGCCGAGGGUACCUGAAGUAUGUAACCGCAAGGAGCGUCCUAGGGUAAAAUCGGUGACUGGGGCU